rnacentral:rRNA from 1 species
AACGAACGCUGGCGGCAGGCCUAAUACAUGCAAGUCGAACGAAGCCUUCGGGCUUAGUGGCGCACGGGUGCGUAACGCGUGGGAACGUACCCCUGGGUGCGGAACAACGUCGGGAAACUGACGCUAAUACCGCAUAAUGACUCCGGUCCAAAGAUUUAUCGCCCAGGGAUCGGCCCGCGUUAGAUUAGCUAGUUGGUGGGGUAAUGGCCUACCAAGGCUACGAUCUAUAGCUGGUCUGAGAGAAUGAUCAGCCACACUGGGACUGAGACACGGCCCAGACUCCUACGGGAGGCAGCAGUAAGGAAUAUUGGACAAUGGAGGAAACUCUGAUCCAGCCAUGCCGCGUGAGUGAUGAAGGCCCUCGGGUUGUAAAGCUCUUUCAGGUGCGACGAUGAUGACGGUAACACCAGAAGAAGCCCCGGCUAACUUCGUGCCAGCAGCCGCGGUAAUACGAAGGGGGCGAGCGUUGUUCGGAAUCACUGGGCCUAAAGCGUGCGUAGGC